CUUUUAGAUGGCGACCGGCGCACGGGUGAGUAACACGUAUGCAACCUGCCCCUGUCAGGGGGACAACCCGCCGAAAGGCGGGCUAAACCCGCGUACAUGCCACCGGGGCAUCCCGGAGGCAGGAAAAGGCUUCGGCCGGACAGGGAUGGGCAUGCGGCGCAUUAGGCAGUAGGCGGGGUAACGGCCCACCUAACCGACGAUGCGUAGGGGUUCUGAGAGGAAGGUCCCCCACACUGGUACUGAGACACGGACCAGACUCCUACGGAAGGCAGCAG
rnacentral:rRNA from 1 species